rnacentral:rRNA from 18 species
AAGAACUUUGAAAAGAGAGUUAAAUUAGUGCUUGAAAUUGCUGAAAGGGAACCGAAGGAAACCAGUGUUGGCCUGUGCAGUUCUUUCCUGUGGGCUUCUGCCCUGGGGCGCUGCUGCGCAGUUUGCCUGGUCAGAGCGGGUUCUGUGGCCGCGGGAGACGGUCCCCAUUGGAGGUAGGGUGCUUGCAUCUGAAACGUGGGGUCUUCCGCCGUGGCCUGGACUGAGGCUUACAUGCUUUUUGCAUGUGGCUCUGACGAAAUGGUUUCCUUUACCCCGUCUAGAAACAC